rnacentral:rRNA from 1 species
UGGGGAAUCUUGCACAAUGGAGGAAACUCUGAUGCAGCGAUGCCGCGUGAGUGAAGAAGGCCCUUGGGUUGUAAAGCUCUUUCGUCGGGGAAGAAAAUGACUGUACCCGAAUAAGAAGGUCCGGCUAACUUCGUGCCAGCAGCCGCGGUAAUACGAAGGGACCUAGCGUAGUUCGGAAUUACUGGGCUUAAAGAGUUCGUAGGUGGUUGAAAAAGUUGGUGGUGAAAUCCCAGAGCUUAACUCUGGAACUGCCAUCAAAACUUUUCAGCUAGAGUUUGAUAGAGGAAAGCAGAAUUUCUAGUGUAGAGGUGAAAUUCGUAGAUAUUAGAAAGAAUACCAAUUGCGAAGGCAGCUUUCUGGAUCAUUACUGACACUGAGGAACGAAAGCAUGGGUAGCGAAGAGG